rnacentral:rRNA from 1 species
AUGCGCAAGGCUACCCGCUGAACUUAAGCAUAUCAGUAGGCGGAGGAAAAGAAAAUAACAAUGAUUACCUCAGUAGCGGCGAGUGAAGAGGUAAAAGCCCAAGAUGUUAAUCCGUAGCACAACUAUGGAAUUGUAAUCUAUGGAAUAGCUCAGAAGGGGAGGCUCGUCAUAAGUUCUUUGGAACAAGACACCAUAGAGGGUGAAAGUCCCGUCUUUGGAUGAGCGGAACCGUAUGAGAUAUUUCCAAGAGUCGGGUAGUUUGGGAAUGCUGCCCUAAGUGGGAGAUAAACUUCUCCUAAGGCUAAAUAUAAGAUAGGAGACCGAUAGCAUACAAGUUCUGCGAAGG